ACUGCGUGAAGUUGGAAUCGCUAGUAAUCGCGAAUCAGCAAUGUCGCGGUGAAUACGUUCUCGGGUCUUGUACACACCGCCCGUCACACCACGAGAGUUGGUUGCACCUAAAGUAGCAGGCCUAACCUUUAUGGAGGGAUGUUCCUAAGGUGUGAUUAGCGAUUGGGGUGAAGUCGUAACAAGGUAUCCGUACCGGAAGGUGCGGAUGGAUCACCUCCUUUCUAAGGA
rnacentral:rRNA from 2 species